AUUGAACGCUGGCGGCAGGCCUAACACAUGCAAGUCGAGCGGAUGAAGGGAGCUUGCUCCUGGAUUCAGCGGCGGACGGGUGAGUAAUGCCUAGGAAUCUGCCUGGUAGCGGGGGAUAACGUCCGGAAACGGGCGCUAAUCCCGCAUACGUCCUGAGGGAGAAAGUGGGGGGUCUUCGGACCUCUCGCUACCAGAUGAGCCUAGGUCGGAUUAGCUAGUUGGUGGGGUAAAGGCAUACCAAGGCGACGCUCCGUAACUGGUCUGAGGGGAUGAUCAGUCACACUGGAACUGAGACACGGUCCAGACUCCUACGGGAGGCAGCAGUGGGGAAUAUUGGACAAUGGGCGAAAGCCUGAUCCAGCCAUGCCGCGUGUGUGAAGAAGGUCUUCGGAUUGUAAAGCACUUUAAGUUGGGAGGAAGGGCAGUAAGUUAAUACCUUGCUGUUUUGACGUUACCAACAGAAUAAGCACCGGCUAACUUCGUG
rnacentral:rRNA from 1 species